rnacentral:rRNA from 1 species
AGCGAACGCUGGCGGCAGGCUUAACACAUGCAAGUCGAGCGGGCAUCUUCGGAUGUCAGCGGCAGACGGGUGAGUAACCCGUGGGAACGUACCCUUCGGUUCGGAACAACUCUGGGAAACUGGAGCUAAUACCGGAUACGCCCUUAUGGGGAAAGGUUUACUGCCGAAGGAUCGGACCGCGUCUGAUUAGCUAGGUGGUGGGGUUACGGCCUUCCAAGGCGAGGAUCAGUAGCUGGUCUGAGAGGAUGAUCAGCCACACUGGGACUGAGACACGGACCUGUCUCCGACGGUAGGCAGCAGGAGAGAAUAAGGCACAAGGGGGGCAGGUCUGAGCCAGCCACGUCGCGUGUGUGAUGAAGGCCUUAGGGUUGUAAAUCUCUUUUGUCCGGGACGAUAAUGACGGUACCGGAAGAAUAAGCCCCGGCUAACUUCGUG